CGGGUGAGUAACACGUGGGUGAUCUGCCUUGCACUUCGGGAUAAGCCUGGGAAACUGGGUCUAAUACCGGAUAUGACCUUGGAAUGCAUGUUCUGGGGUGGAAAGAUUUAUCGGUGCGAGAUGGGCCCGCGGCCUAUCAGCUUGUUGGUGGGGUAACGGCUCACCAAGGCGACGACGGGUAGCCGACCUGAGAGGGUGACCGGCCACACUGGGACUGAGACACGGCCCAGACUCCUACGGGAGGCAGCAGUGGGGAAUAUUGCACAAUGGGCGAAAGCCUGAUGCAGCGACGCCGCGUGCGGGAUGACGGCCUUCGGGUUGUAAACCGCUUUUGACAGGGACGAAGCGCAAGUGACUGUACCUGUAGAAUAAGGACCGGCCAACUACGUGCCAGCAGCCGCGGUAAUACGUAGGGUCCGAGCGUUGUCCGGAAUUACUGGGCGUAAAGAGCUUGUAGGCGGUUCGUCGCGUCGUGUGUGAAAACUUGGGGCUCAACCUUAAGCUUGCAGGCGAUACGGGCGGACUAGAGUACUUCAGGGGAGACUGGAAUUCCUGGUGUAGCGGUGAAAUGCGCAGAUAUCAGGAGGAACACCGGUGGCG
rnacentral:rRNA from 1 species